UAGUGACGAAAAAUAACGAUACGGGACUCAUCCGAGGCCCCGUAAUCGGAAUGAGUACACUUUAAAACUUUUCCCGAGGAUCAAUUGGAGGGUAAGUCUGGUGCCAGCAGCCGCGGUAAUUCCAGCUCCAAUAGCGUAUAUUAAAGUUGUUGCGGUUAAAAAGCUCGUAGUCGAAUCUGUGUCCCGCGCCGCUGGUUCAUCGCUCGCGGUGUUCAACUGGCGUGUCUCGCGGGACGUCCUGCCGGUGGGCGCUCGUAUCGUUUCGGCGGUGCGUGGCCCAACUCGUAGCCGUCUCGCGCGGUUGCGAAUCCCAUCGCGGUGCUCUUUAUUGAGUGUCGAGGUGGGCCGGCACGUUUACUUUGAACAAAUUAGAGUGCUUAAAGCAGGCUCAUUUUGCCUGAAUAUUGUGUGCAUGGAAUAAUGGAAUAGGACCUCGGUUCUAUUUUGUUGGUUUUCGGAACCCCGAGGUAAUGAUUAACAGGAACGGAUGGGGGCAUUCGUAUUGCGACGUUAGAGGUGAAAUUCUUGGAUCGUCGCAAGACGGACAGAAGCGAAAGCAUUUGCCAAAAACGCUUUCAUUGAUCAAGAACGAAAGUUAGAGGUUCGAAGGCGAUCAGAUACCGCCCUAGUUCUAACCAUAAACGAUGCCAGCUAGCGAUCCGCCGACGUUCCUCCGAUGACUCGGCGGGCAGCUUCCGGGAAACCAAAGCUUUUGGGUUCCGGGGGAAGUAUGGUUGCAAAGCUGAAACUUAAAGGAAUUGACGGAAGGGCACCACCAGGAGUGGAGCCUGCGGCUUAAUUUGACUCAACACGGGGCACCUAACCAGGUCCGGACACCGGAAGGAUUGACAGAUUGAGAGCUCUUUCUUGAUUCGGUGG
rnacentral:rRNA from 4 species